rnacentral:lncRNA from 1 species
UGGCCAAAUUAAUCCAAACUUGGCCACAAUCAUCUUUGGGGUAUCUAGUUUUAAAAAUGUGUGGCGUGACCUGGUCAACCAACCAAGAUGGCCGCCACGGCUAAAAAUAGAACAUAGGGGUAAAAUGCAGUUUUUGGCUUAUAACUCAAAAACCAAAGCAUUUUGAGGAAAUCUGACAUGGGAUAAAAAUGUUUAUUAGGUCAAGAUCUAUCUGCCCUGAAAUUUUCAGAUGAAUCGGUCAAUCGGUUGUUGGGUUGCUGCCCCUGAAUUGGUAAUUUUGAGGAAAUUUUGCUGUUUUUGGUUAUUAUCUUGAAUAUUAUUAUAG